GAUGAACGCUGGCGGCGUGCCUAAUACAUGCAAGUCGAGCGAACAGAUAAGGAGCUUGCUCCUUUGACGUUAGCGGCGGACGGGUGAGUAACACGUGGAUAACCUACCUAUAAGACUGGGAUAACUUCGGGAAACCGGAGCUAAUACCGGAUAACAUAUUGAACCGCAUGGUUCAAUAGUGAAAGGCGGCUUUGCUGUCACUUAUAGAUGGAUCCGCGCCGUAUUAGCUAGUUGGUAAGGUAACGGCUUACCAAGGCAACGAUACGUAGCCGACCUGAGAGGGUGAUCGGCCACACUGGAACUGAGACACGGUCCAGACUCCUACGGGAGGCAGCAGUAGGGAAUCUUCCGCAAUGGGCGAAAGCCUGACGGAGCAAAGCCGCGUGAGUGAUGAAGGUCUUCGGAUCGUAAAACUCUGUUAUCAGGGAAGAACAAAUGUGUAAGUAACUGUGCACAUCUUGACGGUACCUGAUCAGAAAGCCACGGCUAACUACGUG
rnacentral:rRNA from 1 species